ACAGCUCCAGUGCACGGGCAGGGUGAGUACGGGGUCACGGGGGCGCAACGCAGGCUUUGGAAGGCUCCGUGGCUCCCUUUGUCACGGCGCGAGGCGGGGAACAGUGCAGGGCGGCGCAACAGAGGAAAGCAGUCAGCAGAGGAGGUGGAGGAAGAAGAAAGCUGACCGGUGGAGCCGGUUGUCGAUGAGAGCGAGCAAGGUGCGGGUGCAGUGUUGGCGUAAGCGGACGGGCGGCCAGGUGGGCCGGUAGCUGGGCCACGG
rnacentral:lncRNA from 1 species